UGGAGUAUAGCCAAGUGGUAAGGCAUCGGUUUUUGAUACUGACACUCAAAGGUUCGAAUCCUUUUACUCCAG
rnacentral:tRNA from 1 species